AUAACAUGUUUCUGUAAGUCACUUUGGAUAAAAGCAUCUGCUAAAUGACUAAAU
rfam:Larimichthys crocea isolate SSNF unplaced genomic scaffold scaffold99, whole genome shotgun sequence.